ACAGGGCCCCUUGUCUCCCUUCUCUCGGGCCUUCCGGUCCCCCGGCCCCCGGCCCACAAUCUGGUCCACCCUGUGGAAGAAGGACCAGGAAACAGUCAUCUAAAGACGCCCCCCGAGGAGUGCAGCUGCCUGUCCCUGCCCAUGGGGUUGAGGAGGGAAGGAAAGAGCAUCAGAGCAUCACCUACCAACCCCUCAGCAUCCACAGAUUUGCAGGAUUUCCUCUGCAGCGGGAGGGAUGAGGGCUGGACAAGAGGAAGGACUGUCCCUCUCCCUCCAGAGCGAGUCGGCGUAGGAGGAGAAGUCAGAGUUGGCGUCCUUCUCGGCCAGAUAGACCAGGAAGGAGGCAAAGAUGAGCACCAGGAAUCCGAUGUACCAGGCGGUGAUCAGCUCCUGCGGUGACAGCAAAGAUGAAAACGUCAGGAGGGCCGAGCCAGAGGGGUAUAAGGAAGCGCCUAAUACUGUGCGUACCUGGGAGAGGGGGGCAGGUGGGAGGUUCCCAGAAUGACCCCGAGAGGCGUUCUGGAGGGGGGAUAAAGGCGCCCCACCGCUUCGAGUUGCCUGGGGGCGGCUGCCCAUCUUUCUUUCCCAGCUCCUCCUUCCGGGGAGACCCUGCCCCGCCUUCCCGACCUCAGGGUACGCCCCCGGCCCCGCCCUUGACCCUCCCCCCCCCAGGUUCCAGGUUCCGACUUCAGUCCCCAGGCCCACCGUCCCUCAACGCCCCACACACCCCAACAUCCAGUCCCCCCCCCACCCGCCCCAGCUCCCCACUUCGCUGUGCACACAGACUCACCUAACCCAGAAGCUUCCGACUGAGCCCCUCAACCCCUUACCCCUCAAGCCCCUCCUCCAGGCCUGCACCUGCCCUCCCCCUGCAGACUGGCCCUAGCCCGGCCUCAGAGAUGGGCCCCUGUGGCCUGGCCCCCGCCGGGCCCACAGUCUCCCCAACCCUGGGGCUGGACUCGGGUCCUGCCCCACCCCCCACCUCGGGCCCCGGGAGACGUCCCGCCGGCGCACCUUGCUGUGCGCGUAGACCACGGAGCCCAGCAGCUUCCAGGUGCCACCGCGGCGGUCCAUGCGCACCAUGCGGAGGAUCUGCAGGAAGCGCAUGCUGCGCAGCGCAGACGUGGCGAAGAUGUUGCCCUGCGUGCCCGCGGCGAUGACGGCCACCGAGGCCACGAACACGAUGAAGUCUGCAGGGGCGGGACAGGCGAGCUCACCAAGCCACCGUGCAUCAGGACCCGCGGAGCGAGGGCCCAGGUCACACAGCACCGGCCCAGCCCGGAGUCCUCGGGUUAGGGGUACCAGGAUUUCCUCAGACCACCUCUCCUGGACGUUCUUACACCUGGCUGGACCCGAGGAGAAUUCCAGAAGGCACGUGGCGCCUUCCACAGACUGAAAGCCCCAGUCUGUCUUCCAUUUCCUGUCCACCAGCUGUCUGGCUUUUUCUGAGCUUCACUCUGCCCUCCCCCUCCCAGCUAUCCCAGACUCAGUAACCCUGACUGGGUGACCUAAGGGGUGGCUAUCUGUCAGCUGUCCACUUCCAAGGUGCUUCUGUUUAGAGAGAGAGAGAGAGAGAGAAAAAAAAAAAAAUCACACCAGGGGUUGAGUUAGCAGUUUGGGUCCUGAGAAGGAGUAGGGCUUUUUCAACCUCUUCUCUGAGCCCAACAUCAGCCCUGGCUUAGCGGCAGGAGGUCCCUCAACACUUGCUCUAAAGCAGAAGAUGAAGUCCAGAGAGGGGCAGCCAUCAACUCAGGGAACACAGCAUAGCAAGCCACUCUCUGAGCCACAGUAGGAGAAGCCUCUCUGUCCCUCUACCCUGAACCCCACGGUGCUACCUUACACAGCCUCGCUCGGACCCGGACUCUGGCACUCACCAAGAUGAGGAGACAUUCGUUGGCAAGUUCCUGGUGCUCCUGAAUUGUGGACAGCACGGACAGCACCAGGCAGCUGAAGACCAGCAAAAAUCUGCAAUAGCAGCAUGGAGAGGGUUAGAAUGCUGCACAGACAGGACAGCCGAGGAGCCUCUGGCAGGGGGCUGCGGGGUCGCAGGAGGAUUGGGGAAGAAUUAUCUGGAAGGCAGAAUCAGAAUGAGGGUUCCCUGGAGUUGUGGUUCUGUGCUGGACACCAAAGGGAGAAGCCCCAAGGUCUGGGCUACUGAGCUCACAGACACCUUACAGGCCUCUCAGUUCCCUUCAAUGCGGGGGCUGCAGCCUGGGGAGGUGGUCAUUCCUCUGGGGGGCGGCAGGUCUGUCUGGGCUGGUGGUGGAAACACACCAGCUCAAGCUCCCACAGUCAGGAAGCGCCUCCAGGCUCAGCCAUUCGCAAGUGGUGCCCUCGGUUUUAAGACUGUCUUAAGAGAAGUAUCUCAGAGGUCAGCUGGGGGGCCAGGCAUGGUCGGCGGCUGAGGGAGGGGUCUCUGCUCCCUCUGAACUCCAAGGUUGGCAGGAGCAUCGCUCCAUUUGCAGAAUGGGGACAAUUGCCUCUGCCUUCGUGGGCUCUUAGGGAAUUAAUAAUAAUGAGACAACUAUGAAA